UGUGAGUGAAGAAGAGAAGAAAAGAAAAUGCCGAGUAGCAGAUUUGCAGGUUCUUUAUCAACCCCCAAAAUUGAUGUGGCAAUCGACAUGGGCAAUCCCUUCCUCAAUCUCACCGUCGAUGGUUUCUUGAAGAUCGGAACUGUUGCAGCUGCUAGAGUUCUUGCAGAGGAUGCAUACUAUGUGGUUAAACGAGGGAAUAUUUCCACUCGCAAUUUUGAGCACACGGUGAGCUUUUUCUACUCAUAUUACUGCAAUCGUGAAAAUCCUAUACAGGAUUUCCCUUUUUUAUUUUGCAAUAAUGUUUUAUAUCUCACAUGCUAUUCAUUAUUCUGUAAUUUGAUUCCAAGUAUUAUCUUGGAUUGAAGAAAUUUUGUUCCAAAUUCUUAAAUGUUAUUGAUUGAUCUAUAGGAAGAGAAAAAGCCUGAAGUUUCAAAUGAUUUCUCAUAUCUUCAUUUCCCUUAUUAGUGAUUGAUCUUCUCAUUGCUAUUUCCGCUUUUAUCUGCUAUUCUCUGGUAUCUACUUGAGUAUUUCUGUAAAUGUCUAAUCCUUUUUUAAGGAAAGAUUGUUAGUGAUACUAGCCACAUGAUAGCCAUGGAAUUCUGAACUUCACAAGGUUCUGCCGCCAGUUGUUACGACUAUAUCAGCGAUCAUCUUCUUAUGAUUACUUUAAAACUAUUUUCAGCCUUCUAAUUCACGGGUACUUUAUUGAAUUUUGAAAAUUGAUUGCAAAAAGGUCCAAAGCAAACUACGUGCACCACAUUUUCUUAUCGAAGGGCUUAUUUAAUAUUAAUUUAUUGAAGAUUUUUCUGAUUGUUUUAUUCAAACUUGCAAUAAUGGAUGAAAAGAUGCAAUCUUUGUUUUCUUGCUCAUGGGAUACUGUUAUUGCAGCUCAAAAAGAUGUGCAAAGAAGGUGCUUAUUGGGGUAAGGAUGUGUUAUAUUUCAUUGGCUAAUGAAUUUUUCAUUUUCGGUUAGAGAUCCUGUUUUUUUCUUGGCAAAUGCUUUAGUUGCCUUGUGUUGCUAAACCCCCAUUAAGAAUUUAGGAACGUAUUUUAUUGUGCUUACAGGAACUGUCGCUGGGGUUUAUGUUGGAAUGGAAUAUGGAAUGGAGAGGAUUCGUGGCACCCAUGACUGGAAAAAUGCCAUGCUUGGGGGUGCAUUGACUGGAGCUCUGAUAUCUGCUGCCAGUAACAGGAACAAAGACAAGAUUGUGACAGAUGCCCUCACAGGAGGUGCCAUUGCAACUGCUGCAACAUUCCUUAACUAUCUCACUUAAAUCAGCGAAGCUUGAAUUGUUCCUAAUAUCUUUGGCAAAUUGCGAGGCAUUAGAUGUCAGUGGCAUCAUUUUCCUUUCAUCAUAAAUGUAGAAUGCCAGAGUAAUCAUAAAUGUUCCAUAUUGUAGAAUGUUGAGCUCGACUGCGGUUAGUGGAAUGAAUUUGUUCUAUCUAUAUGCUACUUGUGUUUUUUCUUGAAUAAUUAGCAUCACAGUGUUUUAAUGGAUUCUGUAUCCAUAAACUUGACUUAGAGGGCUUAUGGUUGUGUUCUUAGAUUUCAUUUGAGACUACUCUUGAUUCUAAUUUCUAAAGCAUCUUACCCACCUAGGGUUCACUGCUUGCUGUGGUGGUUAUCAAAUGGCAGAUUAAUU
rnacentral:misc_RNA from 1 species